rnacentral:rRNA from 1 species
GGAAUAGCCUCGGGAAACUGGGAGUGAUGCCUUAUAAGAUACGUUUGUCGCAUGGCAUUUGUAUUAAACGCUCCGGCGCCAUAGGAUGGACCCGCGUCCCAUUAGCUAGUUGGUGAGAUAACAGCUCACCAAGGCCACGAUGGGUAACCGGUCUGAGAGGGCGAACGGUCACACUGGAACUGAGACACGGUCCAGACUCCUACGGGAGGCAGCAGUGGGGAAUAUUGCGCAAUGGGGGCAACCCUGACGCAGCAAUACCGCGUGAGUGAAGAAGGUUUUCGGAUCGUAAAGCUCUGUUAUUGGGGAAGAAAAAAAGACGGUACCCAAGAAGAAAGUUCCGGCUAACUACGUGCCAGCAGCCGCGGUAAUACGUAGGGAGCAAGCGUUGUCCGGAUUUACUGGGCGUAAAGGGCACGCAGGCGGUUUUUUAAGUCAGAUGUGAAAGGCCACAGCUCAACUGUGGACAUGCAUUUGAAACUGAAAGACUUGAGUAUUGGAGAGGCAAGUGGAAUUCCUAGUGUAGCGGUGAAAUGCGUAGAUAUUAGGAGGAACACCGGUGGCGAAGGCGGCUUGCUGGACAAAUACUGACG